CUUAUCGGCCACACCACCCUGAGCGCGCCCCGAGGGCUGUCUCGUCUGAUCUCGGAAGCUAAGCAGGGUCGGGCCUGGUUAGUACUUGGAUGGGAGACCGCCUGGGAAUACCAGGUGCCGUAAGC
rnacentral:rRNA from 1 species